GAUGAACGCUGGCGGCGUGCCUAAUACAUGCAAGUCGAGCGAAUGGAUUAAGAGCUUGCUCUUAUGAAGUUAGCGGCGGACGGGUGAGUAACACGUGGGUAACCUGCCCAUAAGACUGGGAUAACUCCGGGAAACCGGGGCUAAUACCGGAUAACAUUUUGAACCGCAUGGGUCGAAAUUGAAAGGCGGCUUCGGCUGUCACUUAUGGAUGGACCCGCGUCGCAUUAGCUAGUUGGUGAGGUAACGGCUCACCAAGGCGACGAUGCGUAGCCGAACUGAGAGGGUGAUCGGCCACACUGGGACUGAGAGACGGCCCAGACUCCUACGGGAGGCAGCAGUAGGGAAUCUUCCGGAAUGGACGAAAGUCUGACGGAGCAACGCCGCGUGAGUGAUGAAGGCUUUCGGGUCGUAAAACUCUGUUGUUAGGGAAGAACAAGUGCUAGUUGAAUAAGCUGGCACCUUGACAGUACCUAACCGGAAAGCCACGGCUAACUACGUGCCAGCCGCCGCCGUAA
rnacentral:rRNA from 1 species